AAUUUUUUAGUUUAAUUUUAAAAUACUUAGUUGUGGUCUAAGAGAUUUAAAAGUUU
rnacentral:tRNA from 1 species